CCCCAGACUAAGUCAGGUCCUGUAUCUCUCUCCCCACCCAGACUAAGUCAGGUCCUGUAUCUCUCUCCCCCAGACUAAGUCAGGUCCUGUAUCUCUCCCCCCCAGACUAAGUCAGGUCCUGUAUCUCUCUCUCCCCAGACUAAGUCAGGUCCUGUAUCUCUCCCCCCAGACUAAGUCAGGUCCUGUAUCUCUCCUCUCUCCCCAGACUAAGUCAGGUCCUGUAUCUCUCCCCCCAGACUAAGUCAGGUCCUGUAUCUCUCUCCCCACCCAGACUAAGUCAGGUCCUGUAUCUCUCUCCCCACCCAGACUAAGUCAGGUCCUGUAUCUCUCCCUCCCAGACUAAGUCAGGUCCUGUAUCUCUCCUCUCCCCCCAGACUAAGUCAGGUCCUGUAUCUCUCUUCUCCCAGACUAAGUCAGGUCCUGUAUCUCUCUCCCCACCCAGACUAAGUCAGGUCCUGUAUCUCUCCCCCCCCCCAGACUAAGUCAGGUCCUGUAUCUCUCUCCCACCCAGACUAAGUCAGGUCCUGUAUCUCUCCCCACCCAGACUAAGUCAGGUCCUGUAUCUCUCCCUCCCCCAGACUAAGUCAGGUCCUGUAUCUCUCUCCCCACCCAGACUAAGUCAGGUCCUGUAUCUCUCUCCCCACCCAGACUAAGUCAGGUCCUGUAUCUCUCUCCCCACCCAG